rnacentral:lncRNA from 1 species
UAACUGUGUCGCCCCGGAGACCAGAUCCAGCUGUUAAGCUCUUUGCCAAGGACUUAGGGGAAAGGGGACAAGGUCGCCAGGCCUGGCAACCCAGGUGGACAGCGAGGGCAGUUGUGGGACCCUGGUGGCCACAGCUCUCAACCUUUCUGGAUUGGCAGGAUGAUUUCGGGGGGAAGACGCGCACUCACCUGGCUUCAGCCGGCCCUGCAGAGGGAGACUUGGAAGAGAUGGAAAGGAGAGACCUCUCUGUGGAUGAUGAGCUCCCCAGGCAAGGGACAGCAGCCUGACUCCUAGGUCACAGGCAGCGGGGCUCGCUCGUUUCUCUCUGGGCUACCACCGGGGAGGCUGCUUCCAUACCCCACAGGCAGCCACUCCUGUUUGGCUCUGCAGCUACCGCUACUGCUCCCGGCAAGAAGACGACGUUGCUCGCAGCCCAGCGAGAGAGUGCACAAGAAGAGAGAAGCAAGAGCGAAAUCAAAGCAGCGUGGAGGAGAGAGAGGCAGAGAAAUCGAGAAGGAACGGGAGAGCCAGACCGAAUCUGGCUCCACCAAUGGGAUCAGAGGCUGCUCAGCGUCAGGACAAGAUGCCUCCGGAAGUCAGUCCAACACACCCCCUACUUGGAAAUUUAGGGUUUGAAUGAAGCCCCCGAACUUUAAGGUGAUCUCCUAGGGGACCUUCACGGAUGCACGGCUUCUUACCAACUCUUAUUAAGAGAAACCAUCCCCGCAGCCUCGGAGACUCUGGAGUGUCCAGGGAGAAUCUUCUAGCUGCUUAAAUGUCCCCAAGAAAAGGAGUGGGAGAGAGGCGUUGUAAAACAGGGAGGGAUGCACAGAGGCAAGAAUGUGGGGGGUGGAAGGAGACAGAGCUUUGAGUGUUCUCAUCCCAACCACCCUCCAGGCUGGAGGCCACCAAAGCCCUGAGACUGCAGUCCGAGAGGACAGUCAGCAGGAGGCUUGUCUACCACUAAGAACUGAGGACAGCUGGAGGUUCCCAGAACAUCAGGGAAAUUUGAUGGAAGCAACAGUGGCCAAAGAGUUGAUACUAUGAUGAAAAGAACCGAUUUUGAAGUCUGAUGGAAAUGGAAACAAUUUAGCUCUACGGUUUUCUAGCUGGGUGACUCUGUCUCUAAGCUUCGGUUUCUUCAUUUGUGAAGUGAGAUGAUAAUACAGGUUUAUUGUUAUCGUGGAAUGAGAUCAUUAUGUAAAUCACUUAGCUCUGGGCUUGGCACCUGAGAAGUGUCAACCAGUCAGAGUUGCUGUCUUUCUCAUUGUUGGUGGCAGUCUCUGCCCUGCAAAGAGCCUACAGUCUUCUAGGGGAGGAAGGAGGGACAUUUAGAGGGUACUGGUGGAGAAUAAGAAGACCCCAGUUGGUCCUUCUGCAUCUGCUGAUACAGCCAAGAAUCAAAAAGAUGUUUUAGGGGCUGGGGAGAUGGUUCAGAAGAGUACUAGCAAAGAACCAAAGUUUUAUUCCUUGCUCACAACCAUCUGUAACUCCAGUUCCAAGGGAAUGCUCUCUUCUGGCCUCUCCUGACAUUGUACACAUGUGGUGCUGUUGUACAACGGUUUCCUCCGAGAUUGAAACAUUUCAUCCUACAGGGAAGCUCCUUAAACAGGAAAGUAAACAACUCAAAAUAAAUUCAGGAAGUCCCUGAAACAGACCAGAUUCACUAGGCUCCUCUCUGACAGAGUCAACAAUAAAAGCUGUCAUCUGCAAAGAAGACCCAGACAAACCAAGAAGCUGCUAAGACAAGGCAGCUGCCUGGAAAAAGCAGAAACCAGCUGAGCUUCUGGAAGAGGUUUAGACCAACAGAGAAACCUGGAAAGGACACUCUCCAACUGGCUAAGCUGCCUACAGGAUUUGCAAGCUGUCUUGCACGUUGGGGUGGGCUUUCUGCUGGGGAGGGCCUUGGUGAUGCAGCUGUCUUUGAGUCUUUUCGGCUCCUGUAAGAAACUGCAAUAAAACUCAUUGGUUCACCAAGUUGCACUUUGGUGGUAUCCGUACUUUGGCCUGUCAUGAGCUCUCUAUCUGUGGUAAGUAGAUGUAUGUGUCUUGCCUUCC